rnacentral:rRNA from 1 species
AUUGAACGCUGGCGGCAUGCCUUACACAUGCAAGUCGAACGGCAGCACGGGAGCAAUCCUGGUGGCGAGUGGCGAACGGGUGAGUAAUGUAUCGGAACGUACCUUUCAGUGGGGAUAACGUAGCGAAAGUUACGCUAAUACCGCAUAUUCUGUGAGCAGGAAAGCAGGGGAUCGCAAGACCUUGCGCUGAUUGAGCGGCCGAUAUCAGAUUAGCUAGUUGGUGAGGUAAAGGCUCACCAAGGCGACGAUCUGUAGCGGGUCUGAGAGGAUGAUCCGCCACACUGGAACUGAGACACGGUCCAGACUCCUACGGGAGGCAGCAGUGGGGAAUUUUGGACAAUGGGCGCAAGCCUGAUCCAGCCAUGCCGCGUGAGUGAAGAAGGCCUUCGGGUUGUAAAGCUCUUUCGGCCGGGAAGAAAUCGCACAGGUUAAUACCCUGUGUGGAUGACGGUACCGGAAUAAGAAGCACCGGCUAACUACGUG